GCGGGGAUAGUUGAGUGGUACAACAUGGGCUUCCCAAGCCUAAAACGCGGGUUCGAUUCCCGUUCCCCGCUCCA
rnacentral:tRNA from 1 species